UACAGAGGGGGCAAGCGUUGUUCGGAAUUACUGGGCGUAAAGGGCGCGUAGGCGGCCGCCUAAGUCAGACGUGAAAUCCCUCGGCUCAACUGGGGAACUGCGUCUGAUACUGGAUGGCUUGGAUUCGGGAGAGGAAUGCGGAAUUCCAGGUGUAGCGGUGAAAUGCGUAGAUAUCUGGAGGAACACCGGUGGCGAAGGCGGCAUUCUGGACCGACAUUGACGCUGAGGAGCGAAAGCCAGGGGAGCAAACGGG
rnacentral:rRNA from 1 species